rnacentral:rRNA from 1 species
UACGAAGGGGGCUAGCGUUGUUCGGAUUAACUGGGCGUAAAGGGUGCGUAGGCGGGUCUUUAAGUCAGGGGUGAAAUCCUGGAGCUCAACUCCAGAACUGCCUUUGAUACUGAAGAUCUUGAGUCCGGGAGAGGUGAGUGGAACUGCGAGUGUAGAGGUGAAAUUCGUAGAUAUUCGCAAGAACACCAGUGGCGAAGGCGGCUCACUGGCCCGGUACUGACGCUGAGGCACGAAAGCGUGGGGAGCAAACAGG